rnacentral:rRNA from 1 species
CCUACGGGCGGCAGCAGUGAGGAAUAUUGGUCAAUGGGCGGAAGCCUGAACCAGCCAAGUCGCGUGAGGGAUUAAGGCCCUGCGGGUCGUAAACCUCUUUUGCCGGGGAGCAGUGGUCCGGACGCGUCCGGACCGGGAGAGUACCCGGAGAACAAGCAUCGGCUAACUCCGUGCCAGCAGCCGCGGUAAUACGGAGGAUGCGAGCGUUAUCCGGAUUUCUUGGGUUUAAAGGGUGCGUAGGCGGGCAUUUAAGCCGGCGGUCAAAUGUCGGGGCUCAACCCCGGCCUGCCGUCGGAACUGGGUGCCUUGAGUGGGCGAGAAGUAUGCGGAAUGCGUGGUGUAGCGGUGGAAUGCGUAGAUAUUAGGAGGAACAUCAGUGGCGAAGGCGACUAUCUGGACAGCAACUGACACUGAGGCACGAAAGCGUGGGGAGCAAACAGGAUUAGAGACCCCUGUAGUC